GUAUUUCACAGUCAAAGUGGAUGAGGGUAUGCCCCCCGUGUUCAAGAACUAGAGAGCGAAAUUAAAGCCUCUGUUCCUGAAGCGGUAGUCAGUAGCAGUCGUGGCACACAGGGCUCCUUUGAAGUGACUAUUGAUGGCAAGUUGUUGUUUUCCAAGCUUAAGCAGCAUGGCUUUCCAAAAAAUAAGGAUAUUGUGGUCGCCGUGAAGGAAUACAAAGGUGGUCAAGUUGAAGAAGUGACUGACAGCCAGUCUCCAUGUGUUAUUUUGUAAAACUAGAUUAGAAUGGACACAUCAGCAUGUACACAUCACACAAUUCAAGAUUAAUUACAAUAAAUGAUUCUUGGCUAAAUUAAAACUAUACAGUUGUUACAAGAGUGUUGCAGUUUGGUGAUUGUAUAUCAACCAAUCGCAUACUGGCAUCAUGCGUAUUGCAUCAUGCGUAUUCUUGUAACAACUUUAUUAUUAUAAGAUAAAAUGCUAGAACAACCAGAGUUAUGUCUGCACUAUUAUUUGCACUUGGUGAUGUGAUUCUUUUUUUAUCAGGGUACAUUGUUGCUGCUUUAGAUGUAUACAAAAACGAGUAUUCAGAUGUGAUGCACAUUCGCCAAAUAAGAUAAAACUUUUGAAUGCAUCUGUAACACAUCUUUGUAUGAAGCUAUUGUUUUCCAUUGUUUGCACUGCUAGAUGUAUAAAAAAUUGUGUUACACAACAACAUAUGAAUUUUGAUUUGAGAAGUGAUCUCAAUUAGCCAUAUAGCUAGUGUGCUGGCUGUGUGAUCUUAUUUAGCUAUGUGUACUGUGCUGGCUGUAAAAAGAAUUAUUUGUUGAUAUUUAGAUAAUGUACUAACGAAUUAUGGUCAAGCAAGUGGAUACACAUCUGGCAGUGAAAACAUAGAAUUUAUUUAAAACACCAUAUGAAUGUGUUCGAAUGUCUUUAUGUUGCAUUCAAACACUUUCCUUUGUUUAUGUCUGAUGAAAGAACAAUGUACAUGAAAUAGAAUUAUAUCACUAAAAGCAAAUGAUCACGCAGACACACAUUUCAAGCUAUUAUCUCACUAGACUUGUAAUAUUUUCAAAUUAUGCACUAGGCAAUAUAAAAUUACAUCGAUCUUGGUGUGCGUCGAUUGAUGCAAUCACCGUGCUGCCUUUGUGGAUAUUUCGCAAUAUUCUCGUAAUAACCUUGUACUAUGAUUGUAACAAAGCACUAUGGGGGGGAUUUCAAUCUGAACGGACAUCUUCUCUAUCUCCUGUAGAGCAAGUUAUUCAAUAUUUUGAUAAUUGAUAACCUAAGUGAGUUGUGUUAAGAUGUGGUUCUUUGCAAUCUAUACAAUAGUGCAAUCUAAUAAAUUUAAGGAACACUGAUAAUACUGAUCCUACAUGUAUUCUGCAGUUAGUGUAUGUGUUAUUGUUUCACAGCAAUCUGUUUAUACUGGAUAGGGGCUAGAUAUUAAUCUACAUUAUGAUGGUUUGGCAAUAAAGAGGUCAUCUCAUUUGUCACACUUGAUGGACUCUGUAGAUUCUCUAGCAACUACUCACGUAACAGACUUUAUUCAUUUUUGUGCUGUAUUUUUUUAUGAUUUUUUUAUUAUUGAAUAUUGAACCAAUAACAUGUUUCAUAUAGAAAUAUUUGAGCAUUUAACAAUACACAAUAAUUUAAUGUAAAAAAGACAAGAUCAAUUCUAAUGAGCAACACCCAGACUUUUAUGACUCAGUAGUAUGUGUUUAAUUUUUAUUGAAAUUACAUGUGUUAAUUUGACAUGAAAACAAAUCUAUAACAAUGAAAACUAAAAUAAUUUACAAAUGUUUUACCAAGGUGAUUUUGGCAACGAGUUGGAGAUUUUUUUUCUAUUCAAAUUAAUGCCCUUUCAUGUACUAAUAGUGAGAAUUAAGUGAAUACUCAUAUAAUAAAAUAUCUGUUUCCAAGAAUAUUCUCAGAAAUAAGUCUGGAUGCUGUUUAUAGUUAACUUUGGUCAGCAUUCCAAUUAUAUAUCUGUAUAUGCAAAUUUACAUUGAAAUUUCAAUAAAAUAAAUGAUUU